GCAAAAACAAGUGAGUGGUGGAGAAGAAGGAUGUGGCCCCUGCCCGACACCCAGUGUGAUGCAGAGCUCAGAAUGCUAUCUCAUGGUACCAGCAAGGAAAAAAGGCUGACGGCAGUUCUUGGUGAUCACAAGCCAUGCAGCAAUAAGAAGAAGGGCCCACCACAUCUUUAUACAUUACUGACAUAGUCUGCCCUUCAAAUAUAUGCGUUGAUGCCAGUUGUGGAUCAGAGAGGAGGGGUUGACAGGGUACAAAGCUGAGUCCAGCUAUGAAUAAAUAGAAGGAAGGAGGUGCAAGAAUAUUCAGAAGUCUCAAUGCAGGGGACCAAAAGGAUCGAAGGCAUCAGCAUCAUAUCCAUUACGAAUUGGAUUCGCCGAGUGCAUCGUCAAGUAGCCUUUCCAAAAAGAUACUUGAGC